rnacentral:ncRNA from 1 species
ACGCUGCAGCUGGGUUUAGACCGUCGUGAGACAGUGUUAGUUUUUACCCUACUGAUGUCUUGUCGUUCUAUGUAAUUUACCUGCUUAGUUACGAGAGAACCGCAGGUUCAGGACAUUUGCGUUUAUGUGUUGGUCGAAAGACCAAUGGUGCGAACUACAUCUGAGGAUAAGACUGAAAGCCUCUUAAGUCUGAAUCCGCCAAAAUGCUUAACGAUACUAUUCGCCGUGCCCCUACGCCGCGGAGGAACGAUUAUACUCGCCCGAAAUCCGUUUCGGCCGGGCCGAGGACUGGCUAAAGCCACUGCGAUACUGGCCAGCACCCGUCUGUCUUGAAAUUCUGGACAGUGGUCAGGCACAGACACGAGUGACCCACUUGAUUGAGACGUAGGGUUCUAUAUCGUUUGUAGACGACUUAGAUCUCGCCGUCGGGGUGCCGACUACUUAGGUUGAGCGUUCUUCACGUGCGAUCUAUUGAGGCUAAGCCUUUUGACGGCGAGAUUAUGU